rfam:Felis catus isolate Cinnamon breed Abyssinian chromosome D4, whole genome shotgun sequence.
GCCUGGGUGGUUCAGAUGGUUGAGCGUCUGACUUCGGCUCAGGUCAUGAUCUCGCGGUUCGUAGGUUCGAGCCCUGCGUCGGGCU